AAUAUUGUAGGAAAGAACACUAAUUAUUAUUUUAGCAUAAUUAUUUUUGUGGAAUUUUAAAGAGACUCUGAGUUUGUUUAAAGACUUUGUAUAAACUUUCAACAGGUGCUGCAAUUGGCUCGAAUCGGAGGAAAGGAUGUGAGGGACUGCGUAUAUAAAGUCCUUGACAGGCUCUUCAGUAAUCGUCUCAUGUCCCAUUUCAACAUGAAGGGAAAGGGGGACAAGGUGGCCCUUGAGACCUCCAACAUUUACAGAGCAAUGAAAGCUGCAGUAAUGAAAUGGAGCAAGGAUGCUACAGAAGAAAAUAUAAAAAAUCAUGCAUCCGAGCACCUGAAGCAUGCACCAGCAAGAAAGGGAGGAGCCGGACACAGAAAAUAAUUUUUCUGUGCAAUACUUCCAAAAAAAUCCUUCAUCUGAGAGUUUAAAUAUUAAUUUUUCGGCUGAACUGUCCCUUUAAUGCAAGUUUCUGGUCUUAUUGUGAA